GAGCAUGGCUCAGGAUGAACGCUAGCUACAGGCUUAACACAUGCAAGUCGAGGGGCAGCAUGAACUUAGCUUGCUAAGUUUGAUGGCGACCGGCGCACGGGUGAGUAACACGUAUCCAACCUGCCGAUGACUCGGGGAUAGCCUUUCGAAAGAAAGAUUAAUACCCGAUGGCAUAGUUCUUCCGCAUGGUAGAACUAUUAAAGAAUUUCGGUCAUCGAUGGGGAUGCGUUCCAUUAGG
rnacentral:rRNA from 1 species